rnacentral:rRNA from 1 species
CUGCUGCCUUCCGUAGGAGUCUGGUCCGUGUCUCAGUACCAGUGUGGGGGACCUUCCUCUCAGAACCCCUACGCAUCGUCGGUUAGGUGGGCCGUUACCCCGCCUACUGCCUAAUGCGCCGCAUGCCCAUCCCUGUCCGGCCGAAGCCUUUCCUGCCUCCGGGAUGCCCCGGUGGCAUGUACGCGGGUUUUAGCCCGCCUUUCGGCGGGUUGUCCCCCUGACAGGGGCAGGUUGCAUACGUGUUACUCACCCGUGCGCCGGUCGCCGGCGGAGAAAG